rnacentral:rRNA from 1 species
AAAUUGAAGAGUUUGAUCAUGGCUCAGAUUGAACGCUGGCGGCAGGCCUAACACAUGCAAGUCGAGCGGUAGCACAGAGAGCUUGCUCUCGGGUGACGAGCGGCGGACGGGUGAGUAAUGUCUGGGAAACUGCCUGAUGGAGGGGGAUAACUACUGGAAACGGUAGCUAAUACCGCAUAAUGUCGCAAGACCAAAGUGGGGGACCUUCGGGCCUCAUGCCAUCAGAUGUGCCCAGAUGGGAUUAGCUAGUAGGUGGGGUAAUGGCUCACCUAGGCGACGAUCCCUAGCUGGUCUGAGAGGAUGACCAGCCACACUGGAACUGAGACACGGUCCAGACUCCUACGGGAGGCAGCAGUGGGGAAUAUUGCACAAUGGGCGCAAGCCUGAUGCAGCCAUGCCGCGUGUGUGAAGAAGGCCUUCGGGUUGUAAAGCACUUUCAGCGGGGAGGAAGGCGGUGAGGUUAAUAACCUCAUCGAUUGACGUUACCCGCAGAAGAAGCACCGGCUAACUCCGUGCCAGCAGCCGCGGUAAUACGGAGGGUGCAAGCGUUAAUCGGAAUUACUGGGCGUAAAGCGCACGCAGGCGGUCUGUCAAGUCGGAUGUGAAAUCCCCGGGCUCAACCUGGGAACUGCAUUCGAAACUGGCAGGCUAGAGUCUUGUAGAGGGGGGUAGAAUUCCAGGUGUAGCGGUGAAAUGCGUAGAGAUCUGGAGGAAUACCGGUGGCGAAGGCGGCCCCCUGGACAAAGACUGACGCUCAGGUGCGAAAGCGUGGGGAGCAAACAGGAUUAGAUACCCUGGUAGUCCACGCCGUAAACGAUGUCGAUUUGGAGGUUGUGCCCUUGAGGCGUGGCUUCCGGAGCUAACGCGUUAAAUCGACCGCCUGGGGAGUACGGCCGCAAGGUUAAAACUCAAAUGAAUUGACGGGGGCCCGCACAAGCGGUGGAGCAUGUGGUUUAAUUCGAUGCAACGCGAAGAACCUUACCUGGUCUUGACAUCCACAGAACUUUCCAGAGAUGGAUUGGUGCCUUCGGGAACUGUGAGACAGGUGCUGCAUGGCUGUCGUCAGCUCGUGUUGUGAAAUGUUGGGUUAAGUCCCGCAACGAGCGCAACCCUUAUCCUUUGUUGCCAGCGGUCCGGCCGGGAACUCAAAGGAGACUGCCAGUGAUAAACUGGAGGAAGGUGGGGAUGACGUCAAGUCAUCAUGGCCCUUACGACCAGGGCUACACACGUGCUACAAUGGCAUAUACAAAGAGAAGCGACCUCGCGAGAGCAAGCGGACCUCAUAAAGUAUGUCGUAGUCCGGAUUGGAGUCUGCAACUCGACUCCAUGAAGUCGGAAUCGCUAGUAAUCGUAGAUCAGAAUGCUACGGUGAAUACGUUCCCGGGCCUUGUACACACCGCCCGUCACACCAUGGGAGUGGGUUGCAAAAGAAGUAGGUAGCUUAACCUUCGGGAGGGCGCUUACCACUUUGUGAUUCAUGACUGGGGUGAAGUCGUAACAAGGUAACCGUAGGGGAACCUGCGGUUGGAUCACCUCCUUA